rnacentral:rRNA from 1 species
ACGCACGCUGGCGGCGUGCUUAACACAUGCCAGUCGCACGGAAAGGCCCUGCUUGCAGGGUACUCGAGUGGCGAACGGGUGAGUAACACGUGGGUGAUCUGCCCUGCACUUCGGGAUAAGCCUGGGAAGCUGGGUCUAAUACCGGAUAGGAGCCAUUUUUAGUGUGAUGGUUGGAAAGUUUUUUCGGUGUAGGAUGAGCUCGCGGCCUAUCAGCUUGUUGGUGGGGUAAUGGCCUACCAAGGCGGCGACGGGUAGCCGGCCUGAGAGGGUGGACGGCCACAUUGGGACUGAGAUACGGCCCAGACUCCUACGGGAGGCAGCAGUGGGGAAUAUUGCACAAUGGGCGCAAGCCUGAUGCAGCGACGCCGCGUGGGGGAUGACGGCCUUCGGGUUGUAAACUCCUUUCGCUAGGGACGAAGCUUUUUGUGACGGUACCUAGAGAAGAAGCACCGGCUAACUACGUG